UACGGGGGGAGCAAGCGUUGUUCGGAAUUACUGGGCGUAAAGGGCGCGUAGGCGGUCGUGACAAGUCACUUGUGAAAUCUCCGGGCUUAACUCGGAACGGUCAAGUGAUACUGUCGGACUAGAGUACAGAAGGGGCAACUGGAAUUCUCGGUGUAGCGGUGAAAUGCGUAGAUAUCGAGAGGAACACCUGCGGCGAAGGCGGGUUGCUGGGCUGAUACUGACGCUGAGGCGCGAAAGCCAGGGAGCGAACGGG
rnacentral:rRNA from 1 species